rnacentral:rRNA from 1 species
AGCGAACGCUGGCGGCAGGCCUAACACAUGCAAGUCGAACGGAUCCUUCGGGAUUAGUGGCGGACGGGUGAGUAACACGUGGGAACGUGCCCUUUGGUUCGGAACAACUCAGGGAAACUUGAGCUAAUACCGGAUGUGCCCUUCGGGGGAAAGAUUUAUCGCCAUUGGAGCGGCCCGCGUCUGAUUAGCUAGUUGGUGAGGUAAGGGCUCACCAAGGCGACGAUCAGUAGCUGGUCUGAGAGGAUGAUCAGCCACAUUGGGACUGAGACACGGCCCAAACUCCUACGGGAGGCAGCAGUGGGGAAUCUUGCGCAAUGGGCGAAAGCCUGACGCAGCCAUGCCGCGUGAAUGAUGAAGGUCUUAGGAUUGUAAAAUUCUUUCACUGGGGACGAUAAUGACGGUACCCGGAGAAGAAGCCCCGGCUAACUUCGUGCCAGCAGCCGCCGCAGUAA